CGGUUGUGGAGUUACUGUGGUUUACCUGAGCGUGGUGUCUUCCUGGGGUCUGUGGGCUGCUGCUGCCUGGCGGGUACAAGUGGCUCACCAGGACCAAUGAGCUAACAGGUGAGCCAAGCAGUGUGACUUAUAGCACACAAAAUCACUAUAGCCUCAGUGCCCCUCUGAUCUGGAUGGGUAUGUUCUGACAGCACUGCCCAGGUCCCUGGCUAUGUGCUGGAACAAGGAGAGGGGACAGGGACAGACUUGUUGCUUUCAAGGCAAAGAGGAUUUCCUUUGUUGGAAUAAUGAGGGUUGAUGGGGAGGACUUCUCCUUGGCUGCAUGCUGGAAGACCACUGCACUCCUCUGCUUACAGAUGGACAGGGGUAGGGUGGAGAUGAGUUUGGGACCUAAGGUCUUUCGGGUGCCUCAGCCAGUUUCGUCCUCUGCAGCAGGGAUGUGGUGCUCUUGAGAAUUUGAGGAAAUGUUCCAGUUGUCCAGCCAGGUAUGGUGGUGCAUGCCUGUAAUCCCAGCACUCGGGUUGCUGAAGCAGGAGGAUCACCAUGAAUUCGAGGUUAGCCUGGGUGAGUUCAAGGCCAGCCUGAGCUACAUAGUGGGACUGUCUCAGAAAAGAGAAAAAAGUUCCAGUUGUUCAUCUAACUUCACUAGACCUUUGUCUAAAUUUCACUGGCCAGGGGAGAGAAAUGGGCUAACAUUUGAACAAGGAAGUCAUCAGGCCUGUUUCCACCUCUGGUGGCUAUGAAAAGGACCUGGUUGUGAGAAGAGUCUCUCGCUCUCCUCCCUUCCUUUCUUUGUGCUGGGGAUUGAUUGAACCCAGGUGUAUUCUACCACUGAGCUGCAUACAUCUUCAGCCCUUUUAAAUUUUUUUAACUUGAGACAGUCUCACUAAGUUGCCCAGCGGGACUUGAACUUGUGAUCUUCCUGCCUCAGCCUUCCAAAGUGCUGGGAUCACAGAUGUACACCACCACAUCUGCUUUCCUUUCCUUUUUCCGGUUUGCUUUUAUGUAGUUCUGGGUGAGCGGGCAGGGUGGUUGUGGAGACGCUGUGCUGGCAGGAGGAGGAAGAAAGAGCGGUGCCUCCUCCUUCUCCAGCUUGGAUUGUAGGUAUGGGUGGUGUGCCUGGUGGUUCUUGUGGGAAGCCAAGUUGAUUGUUGCUGUCUCUGGCCUGGAAUGUGGUCUCCGAAGGAACAAGCUGGAGGAUGUGACAAGAAGAGCUGAGUCUGCGGCAAGGGUUAGAGGCUUGGUAAGAGCUGCCCUUGCCCUACCUUAGGUUGGCUAGGCUGUCCUGAACUUGGGGUCAUGGUGGGAGUGGAAAGCAGAGCUGUUGGCGGAAGCAGCUUGGGCCCCCACUCCUCAUGUGUGUGCUUCUCUUGGACUUGGGUGAUGGCAGUUGUGGCCAGAGCUGUAGCUGUAUUUGUCAGUGUUCCUCUGACUCGGCAUGGGUCUUCCCAGAUCAGGAGACCAAGAUGGUGCAUGUUGGGGUUAGAGGUAGGAAAC
rnacentral:lncRNA from 1 species